rnacentral:misc_RNA from 1 species
CAUAAUUCAAGCUCUGCUUGGUGUUGACCAGCAUCGAUUGAUGCUGGUUGAAACUCUUUGGCAUUUUCUAGUCAGAUCUCCAAGCGUGACAGUAUCUCGCUCUAUAGAUUUGUUAGCAAGAUAGCCUAUUAUCGAAAC